CUGGCCUUAAGUGAGCCUCCUGCCUCGUUCUCCCAAAGUGCUGGGAUUACAGGCGUGAGCCACCAUGCCCAGCCGGCAUUUUCAUCUGGACUCUGCCAUGGGGCUCAGCAAAUCAGAUGUGACCUGGUGACAGGUGCCAAGAAGGUCUGGCGACCACAGGUUUCUUGUCGGUUUCUGCCUGGGACCCCUGCACCUCCCUACCAGUAUUCCCAACCCAACGAAAGACCGGCCAAGUACAAACCAAGGGCAGCCCUGAAGCCCAGGACCAUGAGGCCUGGAAGGCCCCAGGACAGGUGAUUUGUGGCCCUGGUGUCUCAGGUCAGGAGCAGGGCAGAGCCACCUUCCUCCCUCCCUGUGCGGGGCUGCAUGAGCUCAGGGACCUUUGGACCUGAGAAAGGUCAGGCUCACUUCCUCCCCGUGCCUGCGGUUGGCCGCAGGGGGAAUAUUCUCCUGACCCGAGUCCUGAAGCCCUGGGCGUGGAGUUUCCCUGGACUGGGAGAAAGUAAACACCGAGGGACUUGCCAAGAGGAAAUGGAGAAGCCCAGGUGUUCUGGGCGGAGCUGAGUGUCCCGCAGGGGGUUCCGCAGCUCCUCGCCUCUGGAAGACCAAGGACAGCUUUCCCCAGGGCUACAGCCUCACGCUCCCCUCCCAUCGUGGCUGGGCCUUUACUUGGGGGUGAGUGUCCUACAGACGAGGGGCUUAAAGCUACAGGAAUGCCUCGUCUCGCAGAGCUGGAGGCUGGAAGGCAGAUCGGCCUGUGAGGGCCGCGGUCACUCUUGGUCCUGAGCCCUCCUUGUCCGGCUGCUGGUGUCACGGGCACUCCUUGGGGUUCCUUGGCUUGUGGGAGCAUCGCGCCGGCCCCGCCUCUGUCAUCAGGCCGCCUCCCCUUCUCUUCUCGAAGGACACCUGCUACGGCGAGGGCCUCUCCAGGAUGACCUCAUCUCGUUCUCCACUAAUCACAGCUGCAAAGAUUUAUUUCCAAAUAAAGUCGCCUUCUUGGGUUCCAGGGGACCUGAUUUUGGGAGGCGCUGUUCCCCCAGCACAGGGAUACAGCAGGCCCUUGGCCUCAUCGGACAUCUGGUGCCCGCGCGCCCUCUCACUCACGUUGUCCAGGCCUCUGCCCUUCUCAACACCCGGACGUGGGCGUUCAGGUGUCCUUCCUGCCCUGGCGUAUGCCCCACUUAGCUGAGUGGGGGGCUUAGACCUCCGCCCCAUCUGCAGUCCUCCUGGGGCCUGCCAAUCAGACCCCCUGCAGCUGCAUGGUCUUGGGGCAUUGCUGUAAGGCCCUGGGGCCUUUCUGAAUCCAUCUGCAAGCUGGAGCUGAGUCCAGGAGCUGAGGCCGGGAGCAGGAGAAACUUAGCAGCUUGAAACAGCACCCGCUCGGCACACAUUCCUGUUGGGAGUGUGAAAUGGUGCAGCUGCUGUGGGAAAUGGUCUGGUGAUUCCUCGCAAAGCUAAACAAUUGCCAUAGCACCCUGCAGUUCCACACCUGGGGAUGCACAGCCAGAAAUGAAGACGGGUGUCUGAGCAAAAACUCGGACAUGAGUGUUCACAGCAGCGUUAUUCACAGUAGCUAGAAGGUGGAAACAACCCAAGUGUCCGUGGACCGAGGAACAGAUCAACAGGCCACGGCGCACGCACGACGGAGUAUUGUGCAGCCAGAAAAAGGGUGAAGCUCCCUUACACAUUAUGGCGUGGGUGAGCCUCAGAAACAUGGUGCUAAGUGACUGCGUUUAUAUAAAAAGCUUGCACUGAUGUAAAGUGUCUAGAGUAGAGAAACCCAGGAGAUGAAGUGGAUUCGUGGCUUCCAGGGCCUGAGGGCAGAGGGAAGGGACCGGCUGCUGAUGGGUCUCCGUUUGGGAAGAUGAACGAGUUCUGGAGCUUGCUUGAGGCAGUGUCUGCACAACAGUGUGAGUGCACGGAAUGUGGCUGAAUUGGACUCUUUAAAAUAGUUCAGGUGGGCAAUGUUAUGUUAUGUGUGUUUUACUACCAUACAAAUAAGUAAAUAAAUGGACAAGCCUGCA
rnacentral:lncRNA from 1 species